rnacentral:rRNA from 1 species
CCCUUAGAUGUUCUGGGCCGCACGCGUGCUACACUGAGUGGAUCAGCGGGUCAGGUUGCGCGAAAGUGUUUCCUAAUCUUGAAAUCCGCUCGUGAUGGGGAUUGACGGUUGCAAUUUUCCGUCAUGAACGAGGAAUACCUUGUAAGCGCGGGUCAUCAUCCCGCGCUGAAUACGUCCCUGCCCUUUGUACACACCGCCCGUCGCUCCUACCGAUUGAGUGGUCCAGUGAGGCUUUGGGAUCUGAGCAAAGAGAGCGUUUCGCUCGUUUUGCCCGGAAAACUCAGUCGAACCUUAUCAUUUAGAGGAAGGAGAAGUCGUAACA